rnacentral:rRNA from 1 species
CCUANGGGAGGCAGCAGUGGGGAAUAUUGGGCAAUGGGCGAAAGCCUGACCCAGCGACGCCGCGUGGGUGAUGAAGGCCUUCGGGUUGUAAAGCCCUGUCAUGCGGAAAGAACUGUUCUAUGGUUAAUACCCAUGGAAUUUGACGGUACCGCAGGAGGAAGCACCGGCUAACUCCGUGCCAGCAGCCGCGGUAAUACGGAGGGUGCAAGUGUUGUUCGGAAUUAUUGGGCGUAAAGGACGCGUAGGCGGUAAUGAAAGUCAGAUGUGAAAUACUUCGGCUCAACUGAAGAACUGCAUCUGAAACUUCAUAACUAGAGUACAGAAGAGGGAAAUGGAAUUCCCGGUGUAGAGGUGAAAUUCGUAGAUAUCGGGAGGAACACCAGUGGCGAAGGCGAUUUCCUGGUCUGAUACUGACGCUGAGGCGUGAAAGUGUGGGGAGCAAACAGGAUUAGAUACCCCUNUAGUC